GUAUGCGAUCGAUUUAGCCAUGCUAGUUGCACGAGUUCAGACUCGUAGCAGAUAGCUCAGUAACACGUGGCCAAACUACCCUAUGGAUCCGAAUAACCUCGGGAAACUGAGGCUAAUGCGGAAUAGCGUUCAUCGCCUGGAGUGGCACGAACGCGAAACGUUACGGCGCCAUAGGAUGUGGCUGCGGCCGAUUAGGUAGACGGUGGGGUAACGGCCCACCGUGCCCAUAAUCGGUACGGGUUGUGAGAGCAAGAGCCCGGAGACGGUAUCUGAGACAAGAUACCGGGCCCUACGGGGCGCAGCAGGCGCGAAACCUUUACACUGCACGCGAGUGCGAUAAGGGGACUCCGAGUGCGAGGGCAUAUAGUCCUCGCUUUUCACGACCGUAAGGUGGUCGUAGAAUAAGUGCUGGGCAAGACCGGUGCCAGCCGCCGCGGUAAUACCGGCAGCACGAGUGAUGACCGCUAUUAUUGGGCCUAAAGCGUCCGUAGCUGGCCACGCAAGUCUAUCGGGAAAUCCGCGCGCUUAACGCGCGGGCGUCCGGUGGAAACUGCGUGGCUUGGGACCGGAAGACCAGAGGGGUACGUCCGGGGUAGGAGUGAAAUCCCGUAAUCCUGGACGGACCACCGGUGGCGAAAGCGCCUCUGGAAGACGGAUCCGACGGUGAGGGACGAAAGCUCGGGUCACGAACCGGAUUAGA
rnacentral:rRNA from 1 species